UUGGACUGGACAGAGAACUUGUUCGAAGGAAAGAAAGCUUGCUUUAUAAGAAUUAACUUAGUGGCGGACUGGUGAGUAACGCGUGAGUAAUCUGCCUAUCACAGGGGGAUAACAGAGGGAAACUUCUGCUAAUACCGCAUAAGACCACAGGAUGGCAUCAUCAAGGGGUCAAAGGUUAGAUCUGGUGAUAGAUGAGCUUGCGUAUCAUUAGCUAGUUGGUGAGGGUAAAGGCCCACCAAGGCGACGAUGAUUAGCCGAUCUGAGAGGAUGACCGGCCACACUGGGACUGAGAUACGGCCCAGACUCCUACGGGAGGCAGCAGUUAGGAAUAUUGGGCAAUGGAGGAAACUCUGACCCAGCAACGCCGCGUGAAGGAAGAAGGUUUUCGGACUGUAAACUUCUGAUCUAAGGGAAAAAGAAAGUGAUGGUACCUUAGGAGAAAGCCACGGCUAACUACGUGCCAGCAGCCGCGGUAA
rnacentral:rRNA from 1 species